AGAGUUUGAUCCUGGCUCAGGAUGAACGCUGGCGGCGUGCCUAAUACAUGCAAGUCGAGCGAACAGACGAGGAGCUUGCUUCUCUGACGUUAGCGGCGGACGGGUGAGUAACACGUGGAUAACCUACCUAUAAGACUGGGAUAACUUCGGGAAACCGGAGCUAAUACCGGAUAAUAUAUUGAACCGCAUGGUUCAAUAGUGAAAGACGGUUUUGCUGUCACUUAUAGAUGGAUCCGCGCCGCAUUAGCUAGUUGGUAAGGUAACGGCUUACCAAGGCAACGAUGCGUACCCGACCUGAGAGGGUGAUCGGCCACACUGGAACUGAGACACGGUCCAGACUCCUACGGGAGGCAGCAGUAGGGAAUCUUCCGCAAUGGGCGAAAGCCUGACGGAGCAACGCCGCGUGAGUGAUGAAGGUCUUCGGAUCGUAAAACUCUGUUAUUAGGGAAGAACAAAUGUGUAAGUAACUAUGCACGUCUUGACGGUACCUAAUCAGAAAGCCACGGCUAACUACGUGCCAGCAGCCGCGGUAAUACGUAGGUGGCAAGCGUUAUCCGGAAUUAUUGGGCGUAAAGCGCGCGUAGGCGGUUUUUUAAGUCUGAUGUGAAAGCCCACGGCUCAACCGUGGAGGGUCAUUGGAAACUGGAAAACUUGAGUGCAGAAGAGGAAAGUGGAAUUCCAUGUGUAGCGGUGAAAUGCGCAGAGAUAUGGAGGAACACCAGUGGCGAAGGCGACUUUCUGAUCUGUAACUGACGCUGAUGUGCGAAAGCGUGGGGAUCAAACAGGAUUAGAUACCCUGGUAGUCCACGCCGUAAACGAU
rnacentral:rRNA from 1 species